rnacentral:rRNA from 1 species
UACGUAGGGUGCGAGCGUUAAUCGGAAUUACUGGGCGUAAAGCGUGCGCAGGCGGUUUGUUAAGACAGAUGUGAAAUCCCCGGGCUUAACCUGGGAACUGCAUUUGUGACUGGCAAGCUAGAGUAUGGCAGAGGGGGGUAGAAUUCCACGUGUAGCAGUGAAAUGCGUAGAGAUGUGGAGGAAUACCGAUGGCGAAGGCAGCCCCCUGGGCCAAUACUGACGC